rnacentral:rRNA from 1 species
UACGUAGGGGGGCAAGCGUUGUCCGGAUUUAUUGGGCGUAAAGAGCGUGUAGGCGGCCAAGCAGGUCCGCUGUGAAAACUCGAGGCUCAACCUCGAGACGUCGGUGGAAACCGUUUGGCUAGAGUCCGGAAGAGGAGAGUGGAAUUCCCGGUGUAGCGGUGAAAUGCGCAGAUAUCGGGGAAGAACACCCGUGGCGAAGG